AAGGCAUGAAGUAUGCACCGUCCUUGAAGUCCUUUGUCCAGAAGUCAUUGAUAUCACUUCAACUCAUAAGUCAUUGACCUAAAGUUAUCACCUGGGUCCAAGCAGACUACAAGGUCUGAGAAAUGUAAGGAGCACGGAGAGUAUUUGCUCAGAGUUUUCCCCCUUUAUGACUUCAGUGUGUAAUAAUACGUAGUUUGAAGUAGAAAUGUAGUAGGUGAUACAAUUUGUCACCUGCAAGCUCUGAGUGGAACAACAAAUAGAAGAGUGAAUUGAAGACUCACUGUACAAUGAAAAGCCCUUCUGUUUUUGUCAAGUUUGCCAGCUCCUGUGAGAAGUUCUACAAAGGAUCAUAAUAACCGCACAAGACCAAGUAGCUGUCCUUCCUCCCUUGGGUCACUGCAAUUUCCUCCUAGCUGGUUCCCCUGUCUCAGUGUUGCUCCCCAGUAACGACGAUCAAUGGCAGAUCAUUUGAA